CCCUGCGUGACCCCCCUGGUGCCCUCCAGCACCCACAGGCCUCUUCUGGGAAGCAGUCUCCCACCUUCUCCCGGAACAUUCCAGAGAGCAGUUGACUCCCUCUUGAUCAGGUCUAUGCCCUUUAAAAACAUCAUCUUGGGAAUUUCCUUAAGCUUUAAUCUAAGCCUCCUGCCACUGGCACUGUUUCUCAUUUCAUGUGCUUCCUGGCUACAGCUGCUCAUUCCUAGGAUGGGAGUGAGAGCCUUUGAAACUACGCGUGCUCCUCCAGGAAGCUUAAUUCCAUUGUGGUACAAGAAUGCACUUUGAUACAAAAUCAAUGCCCAGAAAUCAGUUGCAUUUCUAUACACGAAUAAUG